GACGAACGCUGGCGGCGUGCUUAACACAUGCAAGUCGAACGGAAAGGCCCUGCUUUUGUGGGGUGCUCGAGUGGCGAACGGGUGAGUAACACGUGAGUAACCUGCCCUUGACUUUGGGAUAACGUCAGGAAACUGGGGCUAAUACCGGAUAGGAGCUCCUGCUGCAUGGUGGGGGUUGGAAAGUUUCGGCGGUUGGGGAUGGACUCGCGGCUUAUCAGCUUGUUGGUGGGGUAGUGGCUUACCAAGGCUUUGACGGGUAGCCGGCCUGAGAGGGUGACCGGCCACAUUGGGACUGAGAUACGGCCCAGACUCCUACGGGAGGCAGCAGUGGGGAAUAUUGCACAAUGGGCGGAAGCCUGAUGCAGCAACGCCGCGUGCGGGAUGACGGCCUUCGGGUUGUAAACCGCUUUCGCCUGUGACGAAGCGUGAGUGACGGUAAUGGGUAAAGAAGCACCGGCUAACUACGUG
rnacentral:rRNA from 1 species